AAUUUGUCUUUUGUAUUUAUUGUGAGAAAAUGAAGCUAUUGCUUCCUAUCAACCAUACUUCCUCUAGUUUAUUGCAGAUGAUUCUAUAAUAAUGAAUUUUUGCUUCAAACAUUGUAGGUAUGUGCUACUUUUAUUGCACAAACAUUGUACUGAAGUUUAGCUAGUAGUGGUGGUGGUGGUGGUGGUAGAUCUUGAAGGACCCAUCUCACUGAAAUUUAGGUAGUGGUGGUGGUGGUGGUGGUGCUGGUGGUAACAUUAGUGCCAGUAGUAAGUGGCAGCAUUUGUAAUAGUGGUGCUAGCAGUAAGUGGGAGCAUUGGCAGUAGUGGCAGUGUGGUAGCAGAAGCACCUCCACCAUCUAUGUUCAGGUCAUUAAUCCAAUAUAUAUCCUGUGAAACGGAAAACAAAAUAUGGUAAAACAUUCAAAUAACACACGACAGGAGCGUUGUAAUUCCUAAUUAAAUUACCAUCAAGUAAUACUUUGCGAAGUAUUUUAUGGCAAGGAAUAAAGAAGAGGUACAACUUUUUUAUUUCACGGGAAGAAAAGGCAGUACAACUUUAUGACAAUUGCAACAUCCGCACCAUAGGACAUAGAUAGAUUGUAUGGAUACAUACCAAGAGGCCAGCCGCGACCUAUCAGAUUAUCAAGCAGAUAGGCACUGUUUACAUGGAACAGAUCAGCACGGUCGAACCCAUCGACUCCUGUUGUGCUAGUUAGCUAAAGAGUAUCCAAAUGCAUGUAAUUUGAUCUACUCUAUAGAAGUUGCUAGUGUCCCCUAGUUACACAUACUGCAGAAGUGGUUAUUAACAGCUACUAACAGAGCAGUAGGUGCUUCAUGUCAAUUAAUUGAACAAACAACUUACAAUCUAAGCAAUACAGGCAUAGCAGAGAAAUAGGGCUCUUGGUGGGAUAUGGUCAUCGGUGGCAGCUUCCCACAGCAGCGGUGACCGCGACGACGACUUUGCAGAGCAUUACAAACAAUACUAUAAAAGCAGAGGACUGGCUAACUACGGUAUAAGCACCAAAAUAAGUCCUUGAGAAGUAUCAAUUUACCCCUGCUUAAUUUCUGUAUGCAAAUCACCAGCUGAAUUAGACUAUAAAUCUCAGUCACACAGUCAGCAAGUUCUACUGCUGCAUUACUAAGAGUGAAACAAACUCUGUUGAAAACAGAAACAUUCAAUUGCUAAAAUAGCCCAUAAAAGAGAUCAACAUACAGUUCAAAUCUAUAACAGCCAAGCAAAUCUCACCUCACCACGCCAAAAUGAUUUCCUUCUGCGGCCAGAAAUUUUACCAACUCAAAAGUGAACAUCACUAGCAUCUCCUGCAGCAUAGGAAACAGAGAACAAGUUAAGGCUGGUUUUAAUGGUGAGUAUCAUAUACUAUUAUCAUGCAUAUGAUAUUAAUGUAUGAUACUACAUCCAUAAUACAUAAUAUCAUAUGUUGGUAUCAUAGAUGACUACAUUUAUUGUCAUGCAUGACACAAAGUAGCACAUCAUUUAAUAUGGCGACUGAUACGCGCCGAUCGACCGGCCCAAAUUGGGCCGGUCGCCGCGCAGCCCUUGGAUCCCAGAGCGUGUAACCGUUCCAUCUAUUUGUUUUCCAUCGUCUCUCUCAACCUUCGCAUCCCCACUAAGAAAAACAUGCCCCCUCCCAUGUAUCCUCCCGCGUCCCUCAACGCGCGUUCCCGUCCUCGCCGGUUUUCCUUGCCUCCUAUGCUCGCCGGAGAAGCUCGCCGCCGACGCUCGCUGUCGUCAAUCGCAACAAAAAGUCGUUGACCCAUAGCAGCUUUUUCGUCGCCUUUCCUGCAUCCAUGGUAGCCCCACCAUGGCGUUGGCCGCAAACUGUUCCUCGCCGGUGAUGCCGACUCACAGUUGCAGCUUUAAUGGCGAGAUGGUGUGACUUGCCGCCAAAGCCGGUGGUAGCAAAAAACUGGGCCGGUUCCAGCAAAAUAAAUAGACGGUGGUAGCAAAAAUAUACGGAUCUAGCACAAACACCAUACAGUUGUAGCAAAAAUGGAUGCUAGUUCCAGCAAAAUACAAAGCCGGUGGUAGCAAAAGAAUAGCUGGUUCCAGCAAAAUCCAAAAAUGAUGGUAGCAAAAAGACCAGCUGGUUCCAGGAAAAAAAUGAGCCGGUGGUAGCAAAAACGGAUGCAAGUUCCAGCAAAAAACGAAGUUAGUAGUAGCAAAAAGAAAUUAGGUUGGUUCCUGUAAAAGAACAACUCCCGUUGCUGAUAACACCGUCCAUCGUUCUAGCAUUGCAAAAUGCCAGCUCCAGCAAAAUCCAUGGCGGGAUGCAGCAUUUCUGCAGUCCCGUCAUCAACUCCGGCAGAAACAAAGUGGCAUGUAUGCCCCCUGCUCACCGCACGGCGUCGUCGCCCCCUCUUCCCCACAGCUACCAUUCUCCCCCCUCCCUGUCCCCUUGGUUUGAGGCGCAAAUUGAUUGGAAGCGGGACAACAGCGCGGGCUACUACCAUCGUGUAGCAACCAGGAGGUGUCAUGGAUUGUGUCGUGGACUGGUGGAAGAAGUAGCAAAAGAGGAACAGAGGCGUCCGUGGGAGAAAGAAAGAGCGAAGAGAUAAGGUAGCACUGAAAGCGGUGAAG
rnacentral:lncRNA from 1 species